rnacentral:rRNA from 1 species
UACAGGGGGUGCAAACGUUGCUCGGAAUCAUUGGGCGUAAAGCGCACGUAGGCGGUCUGUUACGUCGGAUGUGAAAGCCCUUGGCUCAACUGAGGAAGUGCAUCCGAAACUGGCAGGCUAGAGUACUAAAGAGGAUCGCGGAAUUCCCGGUGUAGAGGUGAAAUUCGUAGAUAUCGGGAGGAACACCGGUGGCGAAGGCGGCGAUCUGGGUAGAUACUGACGCUGAGGUGCGAAAGCGUGGGGAGCAAACAGG